rnacentral:rRNA from 1 species
UACGUAGGGUGCGAGCGUUAAUCGGAAUUACUGGGCGUAAAGCGUGCGCAGGCGGUUUUUUAAGCCCGAUGUGAAAUCCCCGGGCUUAACCUGGGAAUGGCAUUUGGGACUGCAAGGCUUGAGUGCGGCAGAGGAGACUGGAAUUCCUGGUGUAGCAGUGAAAUGCGUAGAUAUCAGGAGGAACACCGAUGGCGAAGGCAGGUCUCUGGGCUGACACUGACGCUCAUGCACGAAAGCGUGGGGAGCAAACAGG